GAUGAAGAACGUAGCGAAAUGCGAUAAGUAGUGUGAAUUGCAGAAUUCAGUGAAUCAUCGAAUCUUUGAACGCACAUUGCGCCCCAUGGUAUUCCGUGGGGCAUGCCUGUUCGAGCGUCAUUUACCCCCUCAAGCUCCGCUUGGUGUUGGGCGUCUGUCCCGCUUCGCGCGCGGACUCGCCCCAAAGGUAUUGGCAGCGGUCGCGCCAGCUUCUCGCGCAGCACAUUGCGCUUCUCGAGGCACCGGUGGGCCCGCGUCCAUCAAGCUCACCCCCCCAGUUUGACCUCGGAUCAGGUAGGGAUACCCGCUGAACUUAAGCAUAUCAAUAAGCGGAGGA
rnacentral:misc_RNA from 1 species